AUUGAACGAGGCGGCAUGCUUCACACAGCAAGUCGGAUGGCAGCACAGAGAAGCUUGAUUCAUGGGUGGCGAGGGGCGAACGGGUGAGUAACAUAUCGGAACGUACCGAGUAGUGGGGGGAUAACUGAUCGAAAGAUCAGCUAAUACCGCAUACGUCUUGAGAGGGAAAGCAGGGGACCUUCGGGCCAUGCGCUAUUCGAGCGGCCGAUAUCUGAUUAGCUAGUUGGUGGGGUAAAGGCCUACCAAGGCGACGAUCAGUAGCGGGUCUGAGAGGAUGAUCCGCCACACUGGGACUGAGACACGGCCCAGACUCCUACGGGAGGCAGCAGUGGGGAAUUUUGGACAAUGGGCGCAAGCCUGAUCCAGCCAUGCCGCGUGUCUGAAGAAGGCCUUCGGGUUGUAAAGGACUUUUGUCAGGGAAGAAAAGGCUGUUGCUAAUAUCAGCGGCUGAUGACGGUACCUGAAGAAUAAGCACCGGCUAACUACGUGCCAGCAGCCGCGGUAAUACGUAGGGUGCGAGCGUUAAUCGGAAUUACUGGGCGUAAAGCGAGCGCAGACGGUUACUUAAGCAGGAUGUGAAAUCCCCGGGCUCAACCUGGGAACUGCGUUCUGAACUGGGUGACUAGAGUGUGUCAGAGGGAGGUAGAAUUCCACGUGUAGCAGUGAAAUGCGUAGAGAUGUGGAGGAAUACCGAUGGCGAAGGCAGCCUCCUGGGAUAACACUGACGUUCAUGCUCGAAAGCGUGGGUAGCAAACAGG
rnacentral:rRNA from 1 species